ensembl:snRNA U6 U6 spliceosomal RNA
GUGCUCGCUUCGGCAGCACAUAUACUAAAAAUUGGAAUGAUACAGAGAAGAUCAUCAUGGCCCCUGCACAAGGAUGACAUGCAAAUUCAUGAAGCAUUCCAAAUUUUU